UUCUCCUUAGCUCAGUUGGCUAGAGCGUUCGACUGUUAUCUUCGCAAGACAGAGACAUCGAGAGGUCCACAGUUCAAGCCUGUGAGGGGAAG